UUUUGAUUGACAGCCUUACUUUGAUGAACAUUUUACUUUGACUGGCAAUGAUGCAGCUGAAUCGUAUUGGAACUGAGACUGCUAUAGGGGCGGCACAUGACUGAAGCACAUCUUUACUGAUCCAAUCAGUGAAGCCGAGCCAAUAUGCCAGAGAUCUCGCACAUCAGCAACCAUUCCUCAGGGCUCCACAGGAUGCAGACUCUGAGUCACCCAGGUAUGCUGAGAGAUCCCGUACUGCUUGCAGGAGUGAAUAUUAAAGCAACACACUACUGCACCAUGUGAUGAGCGAUGUGUUGAAAUCAUCACCGUCCCGUCAACAAAGGAAGCCAUAUAUGGACGAAAAGUGGAUCCAGGUGCCAGAUGGGGCCCAAAGCAGGAUAUCAGAGGCUGAUCAAGCGCAAACCUGAAAGACAGACACCAGGUGUCCGUUAAAUCUCCUCCAAGCAGCCCUGCUGUCUCUUAGCUGACUCCAGCUGGCUGAUCCCAGGUCAGCCCCUGAUACCUCACAUGCGCAUAUUCACCUGUACAUAUUCAUCUGUGUAUAAUCACCUGUGGAUAUUCACCUGUACUUACUCAUCUGUGUAUAAUCACCUGUGCAUAUUCACCUGUACUUAUUCAUCUGUGUAUAAUCACCUGUGCAUAUUCACCUGUACAUAUUCAUCUGUGUAUAAUCACCUGUGCAUAUUCACCUGUACUUACUCACCUGUGAUGGAUAGUAUGCUAGUUUAAAGGAGCAAUAUGUAGCAUUUCCCAUUGGCAUUUUCCUCUAUGCGCUAGCAGCUCCUCACACACACCUGAAAAGGUCUAAUAUGUGAGGUCUGAAUGUGACAUAGAGAUCACACAGCAGAUUAUGAUCACACUGGGAGUUCAAAGUGUAAAAUGAGCUGAAAUAGGAAGGAUAUAUCGAGAGACAUUGAACCCAAAUACAGCGAGUUUCAUUAUG